GUCUCCGUAGCUCAGCUGGAUAGAGCACCGGUUUCCUAAACCGGGUGUCGCAGGUUCAAGUCCUGCCGGAGACGCCA
rnacentral:tRNA from 1 species